rnacentral:rRNA from 1 species
UACGUAGGGGGCAAGCGUUGUCCGGAUUUAUUGGGCGUAAAGCGCGUGUAGGCGGCCAGGUAGGUCCGUUGUGAAAACUCGAGGCUCAACCUCGAGCUGUCGGCGGAAACCAUCUGGCUAGAGUCCGGAAGAGGAGAAUGGAAUUCCCGGUGUAGCGGUGAAAUGCGCAGAUAUCGGGAAGAACACCCGUGGCGAAGGCGGUUCUCUGGGACGGUACUGACGCUGAGACGCGAAAGCGUGGGGAGCGAACAGG